UACGGGGGGGGCAAGCGUUGUUCGGAAUUACUGGGCGUAAAGGGCUCGUAGGUGGCCAACUAAGUCGGACGUGAAAUCCCUCGGCUUAACCGGGGAACUGCGUCCGAUACUGGUUGGCUUGAGUUUGGGAGAGGGAUGCGGAAUUCCAGGUGUAGCGGCGAAAUGCGUAGAUAUCUGGAGGAACACCGGUGGCGAAGGCAGGUCUCUGGGCUGACACUGACGCUCAUGCACGAAAGCGUGGGGAGCAAACAGG
rnacentral:rRNA from 1 species